ensembl:lncRNA
CGCAAUCGGUCUGGGAAGGAUGAGCAGCCUCCGGAGGACACAGCCGCUGGAUUGAGACACGGCCGCGAACUCCCGGUUCGCAGCUGCCCAGCCGACAUGGGCUGAUGCUCGGGUUGUGUAUUCAUCAGCAUCCGGCCAAAGCAAAACAACUCGCGUCCGGGGGACCCGCACAGCUCCCCCUCCGCUCCCGCGUCCCGCUUCCGGCCCGGCGGGUUUGCGUCUGGAGGAGAGAAGCACCAGUCGUCUUCUUACUGCUCUAAUAACCACGGUGAGACUUCAUCCUGCCACAUAGUCGUGUGAUGCUGACAGACGGCCUGUCCAGAUCCACAGUAGAUUUCUGAGGGAACGAGUGAGAUGUUGUCCAAGCUCCGGAGAGACAAAGACUCUCCUUAUCUGCUGUCUCACCGCCUUCAGUGGGGAUCAAAUCCAACCCGGGGCUCAAAUUUCAAACUGUUUGUCUUUUUGUUUGAGGACUGUUAAAGAGAGAACGUCCUUUGGAAUUAGAUUGUCCAUAUCAAC